rnacentral:lncRNA from 1 species
CAUUCAUCUGGAAUUCAAGAUCUAUGUUUCUAACAAAAUGUGACAACUCUGAAUAUUCACCAAGUGGAAGCGGAUGCACAUUGAAGAGAUCUGUGAAUCAGUAAUGGACUUGUACUACUUUUUUCUUUCAUAUGUAAUACGAUAAAGCUUUUCUUUCUUCUUGUCUUCUUACUUUCUUGUACUAUUAAGGAGAAACAAUG